CACGCCACCGGCGUCGUCCGAUCCAAACUCCUAUCUGCCGCAGCAGGCUCGCCGCCACACCCACCUCCACCUCCCCUCCUCCCCAUCGUCUCCUCCUGCCCCUAUCCCAUCUCCUACGGCGCUGAAAUCGACAAGUACGUCGCCGGCACCGGCCGUCCGCGGUGUCUGCAAUGCCUCUCCUGCCAACUCCUCCGAUGUAGCAGACCCGCCGCCCAGCAACUCUCCCUCCUCACCUCCGUCUCCUCCUUCCCCUACCCCUAUAGCGUGUGCUGGCAUGCACGACUGGCGGCCCAGACGGCCCAGAUGUCAGUAAUGCCAACAGCAGACAGCACCCGGUGCAGGAGCUCUGGCAGGAAGGCAGCGAAGUCCGCACCGGAGCCAAGAGUGUUCUUCGGCGGGGGCUCCGGCUUGAGCUUUUCUUGGAGUAGCAAUGACGGUUGGGGUCCGAGAAGACACGCGGGGUUGGGAUGAGAAGGGCGCCGGCGAGGGGUUCGGCAGUGGUCAGCUCCAGGUCGUGGAUUAGAGGUCCAUGGUAAGGACUACCAGAGAGAAACGUACAUGGUAAGGAGUACCACAGAGAAACGUAUGUGAUGGAGAAGGUGUGCUAAAACUUAGGUGUGGAGAUGUCUGCAUCAAUCUGCACCCAUAUAUCAGGUGAAGUUAAGGAAAAUGAUGACACCCAGAUAUGGUUAGAUGGGACUGUAGCAGCAUCUCAGGUGAAACGUCCAGCGUUGUUUUAUGCAUAGGAAGCACACAGGAAGAAGAUGCAAUGUGGUUGAGAAAAAAAUGCUAUGACUAGAAUUCUUUUGUGGUAGAAUUAGAAAGAAGAUUUAAGGUGGUUAGUUCAAACAUUGGCACCAUGGCUUUAGUUGUCAAAUUUGUGACUUCCUAGAACAGAUACAAAUUUAUUAUGAAUUUCAUAUUAUAGCUGUUAUUUUCAUGUUAACAUGUCGUAGCAUUCAUAUGGUGAUGUCUAAGUAUUUCCCAUGCAACGAGUAAUGGCUUAUAACUAAUGAUAUAUGUCUUCUUUAUAUAACUUGCAUAUUAACUGAUCCAGUGAAGCACUGGCGGAGUCUCGUGGAUCAGGGUGGACACGGUCCGAGCCGGCGUUUGGACCGGCCGCCUGCGGUCAGGUCCGGACCGGACCGAGCAGCGUGGCGGGCCUGUUUUCAGGGACCGGACCGGCGGCGGUGAAGCCUGGGCUGGACCGAGAGGACCGGCGGUCUUGUUUCCAUGGUGGUCAUGGCGAGGCGGUGGUGACCAGAUCGUCGGCAAGAGGAUGGGUGUUGUGACAGAAACUGUGAGCAAAGGCAGAAGCGAGGUGGGAGACGUGCGUAGGUGCUGCGGCGAGGUGGGCGACAUGCACGAGCGCCGGCGGGGAGGUAGGCAAUGUGCCACGGGAAGUGCGCUCUGCGUCGCGGCAGUUAGCCAUGCAACUAAUGUGGGACGUGCAUGAGCCCAUGAUUUUCUGUCUGCGGGCGUUGCCAUAAUUAGAGGAUCAAACCUGACAUGAAGUUAAAUGUCAAAUGGCGCCGCGAUUUGCGGAUCAAGCCUUGUUUC